CAGUUCAGAUUGCAGGCUGCAACUCGCCUGCAUGAAGUCGGAAUUGCUAGUAAUCGUAGGUCAGCAUACUACGGUGAAUACGUUCCCGGGCCUUGUACACACCGCCCGUCAAACCAUGAGAGUUGGCAACACCCGAAGUCGGUAGUCUAACCGCAAGGAGGACGCCGCCGAAGGUGGGGUUGAUGAUUAGGGUUAAGUCGUAACAAGGUACC
rnacentral:rRNA from 1 species